UCAGGAAUCUUUAUUUAAACUAGUUUACACAAGACAUAAAUCUACAGUCCAAGAAAGAAAUGCACAACAUAGAAAAAACACAAUAUUUAUACAUUUAAAUUGCAUAACAGAUAUAGUGUAUGUUUUGACAGUCAUAGAAGAGGAAUACCAGUAGCCGGUCAAGGUACAAGAACCUGCGUGGACUGGAGCAGAAACUGGAACUUUAAUAACUAUAUAACCAAUGUGUGAUCUUUAGGGGUUCUGCAACACUGUAGAGAUAAAGUGUGGGCUCAAGGGUUAACCACCGAAAAUAAAAUAUUUUCUCUGUAUUAACCUCUAUUUUGCUCCAGGGUGCUAGCAAUAUUGACUACUGCAACAAACCCAGAUGAUCUGCUCAAUCCCACAGCUAUAAGAGAAUGCUGGUUGGGUCAUUAAACAUGCCAAUAAAUUAGUCUUGUUCUGUAAUAUAUGUAUUGUUUCCAGGAUGCAAUAAGUGAAUGUGAAAAAAAUAAAAUUAAUAAAUAAGUGAAUGUGGCAUAGUUGGAAGAACACCUUCUACAGGUUUCAUGGCAUCCAGGUACUUAGUCAUAAGUGACCAUAAUUUUCAGUUUUUUGCUCCAAUUCCAAAUGUCCAAAUUACAGAAGUCAAGGGUUUCAAAAACCUUCCCUCAAUUUGCAACUAAAUAUAUUAGAGAGCGACUAUAAGCUGAACAAUCUCAUUGUAAUAGUUAUGGCGUUAUGAGUCUAUACCCAGAUUUUUAUUUUAAACGAUUUUGGAACAGUGACAAUAUAAAAGCCCCUCCCAGGCACCCAUAGCUCACCCCCUCUGCCACCAUACUGAUAGUGAUUAAAUUGCACUGUGACAUUAUUACAUUUAAAUCUAUCCAGUCUUUUUUUAUAUAGAAGGGUGCAUAUCAUUUAUUUGGUUGCUUUUUUCUUGAGAUAUAUAUAUAUAUAUAUAUAUAUAUAUAUAUAUUCGUGCACAUUUUAAAUCACUUAAGAUCAGUUAAACUAUGUUUGAGUGGAUGUUUAAAUAGUGGAUACUUCAGUAGACUAAAGUGAUAAUUAGCUAAGGAUGUAAAAACUAAUGUGUAUAUUUCAGAUUUGUCCCUUUAUUCUCUAGAAAAAACAAUCUUCUUCUUAAAGGAAUACUAUAGGUACCAAAAACAACUUUAGCUUAAUGAAGUCAUUUAGGUGUAUAGAUGAAGCCCCUGCAGUCUCACUGCUCAAUUAUCUGCAAUUUAGGAGUUAAAUAACUUUUGUUUCUGUUCAUGCAGCCCUAGCCACACCUCCCCUGGCUGUGACUGACACAGCCUGCAUGAAAACAAUGGUUUCGGUCAGAUCUUAAACUUACCUUAGAAGUUUUUAUCUUCUGUAAAUUGAACUUUAAUAACACAGAGGAGGCACCUGCGGGUUCAAGCUGGCUUUUAACAGAGCAAGAGACAAGAAAGUCUAAAUUAAACAGACUGCGCAAUAAAGAAAGUGUACAGAUUGGAUCUCACUUUACAGGAAGUGUGUAGAGAGACGGUUUAGGUCACAUGCAGGGGAGGUGUGAGUAGAGCUGCAUAAACAUAAACAUCAGUAAUUACAUUUAAAUAGAAACUCCAGGCACCAAUAAAACAUUAAUGAAUUUCAUCUAUAAUAUCCGGUCUCUUCGAAUGCACAAAUUUUUAUAAUUUUUGCAAAAUGCUGUUCCAUAAGCCUGACUCCUUAGCCACGCCCCUUUCACACUAGAAAAAUACUUUCUUAUCAAUGUCUGCACACUGACAGUCAAUGAAAGCACAGAGUGAUCUGAAUUACAAAAGAAACUGCAUUAAAAGGGGCAGAUACCCAGGGACAUAUGCAGUACAGAUUUCACUACCCAUUUGUCUGUAGAUUCUGACUGUUUGUACCCAGAUUGUGAAUUAUAAGCAGCUUACUCAGUGCUGUUAAGGGCUGAGCUGUGUACACAAACAAAAAAAGUAUUUCAGGCAAGAGAGGGGCAUGGCCAAGGAGAAUGGCUUCUGGUACAGCGUUCAAAAAACACUGUUCAAAAAAAAAAUAAAAAAAUAUAUGUAUAAAGAUUUGAGCAACAAAAUGCAGUAUAUUUAGGAGGCUAAAAUUUAUCAAAUGCAUUAACAUUGUAUUGGUGCUCAGAAUGCCCCUUUAACCCCUUAAGGACCAAACUUCUGGAAUAAAAGCGAAUCAUGACAUGUCACACGUCAUGUGUCCUUAAGGGGUUAAGUAACUAUUUGAAACCCAUACCUAGAGAUGUAUCAAUCUAAUCAAUUAGAAGUAUACGAGAACACAAAGAGCAAAACAUUGGUAUAUAUAAUGUAAUAAACAAUUUUACGUGGAGAACAUAUUUGUAAAAUUAAAGGGACACGAGUCACCAAAACAACUUUAGAUUAAUGAAGCAGUUUUGGUGUAUAGAUCAAGUCCCUGUAGUCUCACUGCUCAAUUACUUGCCAUUUAGAAGUUAAUUCACUUUGUUUACACAGCCCUAGCCACAUCUCCCUGCAUGUGACUUACACAGCCUUUCCAAACACUUCCUGUUUAGAGUCAUCUAAUGUUUAUACUUCCUUUAUUGCAAAUUUUGUUAAAUUUACAGUUUCUUAUCUCUUGCUCAUUUAGUAGCUUGCUAGACCCUGCAAGAGCCUCUUGUAUGUAAUUAAAGUUGAAUUUGCAGAGCAGGAGAUAAAAACUUUUAAUGUAAGUACCGUAUUUAUCGGCGUAUAACACAAACUUUUUCUCCCUGAAAAUGUAUGUAAUUAAAGUUGAAUUUGCAGAGCAGGAGAUAAAAACUUUUAAUGUAAGUACCGUAUUUAUCGGCGUAUAACACAAACUUUUUC